CUCUACUGGAGUCUAUUUUGUGAGCCCAGGAUAGGGAUAUGAAGAGCCUCACAGAAACUCAAGCAACACGAACAGGUAACUCGGAGUUUGAGUACACUCUAACAUGUAGAGGAAGCUGCAACGGGUGAACUCAACUCUGUUUACAGAUAAGAAGAGGCAACGUUUGGUCAGAUUAAUUAAAUACUCUCAGGACUCAACUGAUGCUACUGCCUAAGUUGCCACUGUUGUUUAGGCACAAUGCUCAUGUGUCUACAGUCUGGAUCCUACCAUGUGUCAGCAGAGCCAUAGUCAGUGACCUUGCGCAUACUGGAAGCCUGCAGCAAGGUACAUGCUGCUCUUCCACAGAUCUUUGCUGAAGCUGAAGAACAUUUUUGGAUGUGCGUAUAUGGAUCUGUGAAGCAAGGCCACUUCAAACUGAGUGGAUAGCAGCCAGCUCUAGUCUAGAAUUAUGCUUCAGCUAAUGCGUCCUGCUGAUCUGCUGACAGCAAGGAGGAAAUAAACAGGAGGUGAAAAGGAGAAGACCCACAGAGCAAGGAGGUGUUAGAGAAGUAAUCCAACCUCUGAGACUGUGCUUACACUUGCAGUGAGCCCCUUGUCUGCCCUCAAGCCGUACAAACCAUCUGGACCAAGUACAUCGGCUCCUACUGACCUAUGUAUGUGUAAUGCUCUUGGAGGGGCCAUUACCAUGCUGGGAGUGAAGCGUACAUCCAGGAAAGGCAGUGUCCUGCUUUUCCAUAGAACAGCUGGGGACAUCCAGCUUUAACAAGGGCUGAGAUCACCUCCAACCUUCCAGUCUAACACCACCUGAAAGCAAGUGGUCUAUACAGUUGAGUGCUUUUCAAAAAAGCCCAAAGCACUAUCAUCACUCCUAGGUAGUCACUUCUGCAGUUCCCAGAUGAGAGGGCUGACCUGUGGACAGAAAUUGCAUUGCUUCAGCUCAAUAGGCAGCACAGAUAUCAACAGAAGUCUGCAUAAUGAAGGCUGUAAGUUGGCAAGUUGGUUUAGCCAGCAGACAGCCCAUAUCACUUCAAAACCUGCUCACAUUAAUAAAACUGCUUGAAGGUUAGAGAAAGCUAGAGCUCAGCAUGGGGCAGUCCACCCCAAAGCAGUUUAAUGGAUGCUGAGGAUUGACUCAAUAUUCAUUAAACAAGACUGAGCUCCACACACAACAUCAUCCCAAGCUCUUUUGGAGGGACAGAAGAAAAACUGCCAGGACAAUGAAAACCAUGAGGCUCAACCCAUUCACAACUCUAGCAAUAUUUGCAAUCCCACAUCCAUGCACACUGACACGAAGAUCCUUGAGAUGAAGUGAUGGAGAGGAAUCCCAC